GACGGAGGAUGCAAGUGUUAUCCGGAAUCACUGGGCGUAAAGCGUCUGUAGGUGGUUUAAUAAGUCAACUGUUAAAUCUUGAGGCUCAACUUCAAAAUCGCAGUCGAAACUAUUAGACUAGAGUAUAGUAGGGGUAAAGGGAAUUUCCAGUGGAGCGGUGAAAUGCGUAGAGAUUGGAAAGAACACCAAUGGCGAAAGCACUUCACUGGCUAGUCACUCACACUGAGAGACGAAAGCUAGGGUAGCAAAUGGG
rnacentral:rRNA from 1 species